GAUUUCUGUGGCACAAUGGGUCACUGCAUCUGGCUGUUAAUUAGAAAGUUGGUGGUUCAAGCCCACCCACAGGAUUG